CCGCAACGAGCGCAACCCUUGUCAUUAGUUGCUACGAAAGGGCACUCUAAUGAGACUGCCGGUGACAAACCGGAGGAAGGUGGGGAUGACGUCAGGUCAUCAUGGCCCUUAUGGGUAGGGCUACGCACGUCAUACAAUGGCCGGUACAGAGGGUUGCCAACCCGCGAGGGGGAGCUAAUCCCAGAAAACCGGUCGUAGUCCGGAUCGCAGUCUGCAACUCGACUGCGUGAAGUCGGAAUCGCUAGUAAUCGCGGAUCAGCUUGCCGCGGUGAAUACGUUCCCGGGUCUUGUACACACCGCCCGUCACACCAUGGGAGCGGGUUCUGCCAGAAGUAGUUAGCCUAACCGCAAGGAGGGCGAUUACCACGGCAGGGUUCGUGACUGGGGUGAAGUCGUAACAAGUAGC
rnacentral:rRNA from 1 species